rnacentral:rRNA from 1 species
UACGUAGGGUGCGAGCGUUAAUCGGAAUUACUGGGCGUAAAGCGUGCGCAGGCGGUGAUGUAAGACAGGUGUGAAAUCCCCGGGCUUAACCUGGGAACUGCAUUUGUGACUGCAUCGCUGGAGUGCGGCAGAGGGGGAUGGAAUUCCGCGUGUAGCAGUGAAAUGCGUAGAGAUGCGGAGGAACACCGAUGGCGAAGGCAGCCCCCUGGGCUGACACUGACGCUCAGGCACGAAAGCGUGGGGAGCAAACAGG